GGAUUAGAUACCCUGGUAGUCCACGCUGUAAACGAUGGUUACUAGAUGUUCGGCCUAAUUGAGGGCUGAGUGUCCAAGCGAAAGCGAUAAGUAACCCACCUGGGGAGUACGUUCGCAAGAAUGAAACUCAAAGGAAUUGACGGGGGCCCGCACAAGCGGUGGAGCAUGUGGUUUAAUUCGAUGAUACGCGAGGAACCUUACCUGGGCUACAAUGCCUUGGCCAGUCCCUGAAAGGGGAUUUUCCUUCGGGACCAAGUGCAAGGUGCUGCAUGGUUGUCGUCAGCUCGUGCUG
rnacentral:rRNA from 1 species